rnacentral:rRNA from 1 species
UACGUAGGUGGCGAGCGUUAUCCGGAAUGAUUGGGCGUAAAGGGUGCGUAGGCGGACGCUUAAGUCAGCGGUAAAAUUGCGGGGCUCAACCUCGUCGAGCCGUUGAAACUGGGUGCCUUGAGUGGGCGAGAAGUACGCGGAAUGCGUGGUGUAGCGGUGAAAUGCAUAGAUAUCACGCAGAACUCCGAUUGCGAAGGCAGCGUACCGGCGCCCAACUGACGCUGAAGCACGAAGGCGUGGGUAUCGAACAGG